rnacentral:tRNA from 1 species
UUAACUGAAGCUAAAAAGAAGCUUUUCACUGUUAAUGAAAAAAUUGAUAAAUAUCCAGUUAAA